AUACUCAACAAAUACUUGUUGAAUAAGUUACGUUGGCCAAAACCAAUUGAGGUCAGAUUGAAAGCCUCUUUCAGGAAGUGUGCCCUCUGGCUCUGACUCACACCCCUGGAAUAUGAUCUGAUGCAGAGGAUUGGGAUGUGUUCAGCUGCUGCACGUCACGCUGGGAUCACAGUGGGGAGACGGGGAUGUGACUCCCCCAGACUGGGUGCCAGUCAGGAAGGCUCCACUAGGCACCGGCCCUGAGGACCUGACUGGGUGAGCGGGGGCCUGAGAGGAGAAGCAAUUCAGAGCUGUGGGAACAAAGCCUGGGCUUCAUGCUGAAGCAACCCAGGUCCCAUCACCCAGAACCUUGAAAGAACUCUUCCUGAUGUGACGGCUUUGGAAGCAGCUGAACUCACGGACUCAUCUUUGGAGCAGGACUGUACUUUCUGAGGGCAGGGGGUGCUUUCUAAGAACCUGGGAGGAUCCCUUGAACCACACAAAUGGAAGUCAUUCAACAUCUGCUAGCCUCAACAGCCCCUUCUGAAGACAGCAAAAGAAAGGGCCGGGUCCCUGGAUGCAUGGAGGCAGGACCUGGGACUCGUGGACCCGCUCGCACUUCUGGCUUCUGAGAGUGCUCUGGGGUGGGGGUCACGGAUAAAAGGCU
rnacentral:lncRNA from 1 species